GUCGAGCGAACAGAUAAGGAGCUUGCUCCUUUGACGUUAGCGGCGGACGGGUGAGUAACACGUGGGUAACCUACCUAUAAGACUGGGACAACUUCGGGAAACCGGAGCUAAUACCGGAUAAUAUGUUGAACCGCAUGGUUCAAUAGUGAAAGAUGGUUUUGCUAUCACUUAUAGAUGGACCCGCGCCGUAUUAGCUAGUUGGUGAGGUAACGGCUCACCAAGGCAACGAUACGUAGCCGACCUGAGAGGGUGAUCGGCCACACUGGAACUGAGACACGGUCCAGACUCCUACGGGAGGCAGCAGUAGGGAAUCUUCCGCAAUGGGCGAAAGCCUGACGGAGCAACGCCGCGUGAGUGAUGAAGGUCUUAGGAUCGUAAAACUCUGUUAUUAGGGAAGAACAAACGUGUAAGUAACUGUGCACGUCUUGACGGUACCUAAUCAGAAAGCCACGGCUAACUACGUGCCAGCAGCCGCGGUAAUACGUAGGUGGCAAGCGUUAUCCGGAAUUAUUGGGCGUAAAGCGCGCGUAGGCGGUUUUUUAAGUCUGAUGUGAAAGCCCACGGCUCAACCGUGGAGGGUCAUUGGAAACUGGAAAACUUGAGUGCAGAAGAGGAAAGUGGAAUUCCAUGUGUAGCGGUGAAAUGCGCAGAGAUAUGGAGGAACACCAGUGGCGAAGGCGACUUUCUGGUC
rnacentral:rRNA from 1 species